GAACUUUUCCCAUAGGGCAUGUUGUCAGUUACCUUUAGUGAUGUGUUUAUGUUAAUAUGUUAAGGCUUUCUGUGUGAGAUAAACCCCUCCCUCCUGUUCUUGGUAGAGAGGAGUUGGAGGAUCAUGCACACAGCUGGGUGCCUAUGCAAAUUCGAGGUACGAAAUACUUGCCUAGCAGUUUCUUCCCGAGGCUAACUCUGGUCACUAAAGAACUGAAGGGAUUUUUACACAGAGAAAAAAAUAAAAAGUUUUUGCUUUGAAAACAUCGGCUACCUGGAAGAGUAGACGAUGACCACGGGCUUGCCACAGCGGUAAUAAUCUACUUGGCAUCAAGCUCAGCCUGACCGCAUAAGGAUACAGAAUUGAAUCACUUCCUGUGCGAGCAUUGUGUGCUCAUGUGCUCAGAUGACCGCCCGAGGCUCGUCACAUAUCCGGUUGACCACCUCAGAGGACUACUCGGUACUCCACUCCACUGAGAGCUCAGUGUGGACUCUGCCAUGCAUUUAUUUGCUAAAGGGAAGAGAGGAACCAAAUAUUCAAUAGUGAGCUGGUGUAGGUUAUGUACACAGUGCUUUGAUUUCACGCCAAAAGGAAACUGUCCACUCCAACUUGAUUAAAUAGGGAGGCUAAGGAAUAAUUAAAAACACUGGAAGGUUUUUCUCCCUUUCUCUUGAUGUAGCAAAGGGAAUAUGGCACCAGGGCCUGCAGAGUUGUUGGUGUUCUUUGCCAUGCACGGAAUAUUUGGAUUGUUCGAAGUAAUGUUAACUUUUAGCCAACCUGGCUGUUCUCCUGAUUGGUCAUCUGUAAAUAUGGAGCAGACCUGGAUUGUAUGUCUUGGGGAGUCCUUGUCCUUUUUAUCACUUUUAAAAAACCCGUGAGAUGGGAUCAAUAUUGAAAGUGGGGAUUUUUUUUCUAAAGUAAUCUUUACAUGAGAAAUAAAUUUAUAUAAUCCCUUUGUAUCGCUUUCU
rnacentral:lncRNA from 1 species